UACGUAGGGUGCAAGCGUUGUCCGGAAUUAUUGGGCGUAAAGAGCUCGUAGGCGGCUUGUCGCGUCGGAUGUGAAAGCCCGGGGCUUAACCCCGGGCCUGCAGUGGGUACGGGCAGACUAGAGUGCGGUAGGGGAGACUGGAAUUCCUGGUGUAGCGGUGAAAUGCACAGAUAUCAGGAGGAACACCGAUGGCGAAGGCAGGUCUCUGGGCCGAUACUGACGCUGAGGAGCGAAAGCGUGGGGAGCAAACAGG
rnacentral:rRNA from 1 species